GGGGGGAAGGUUUUUUUUAUGUUAGAUCGGGCUAUACAUGCAAGUCGAACGAGUUUGCUAUUAAUGAAGGCGGUGCUUGCACCAACUGAUUUAAAAAUAAACGAGUGGCGGACGGGUGAGUAACACGUGGGUAACCUACCCUAAAGUGGGGGAUAACAUUUGGAAACAGAUGCUAAUACCGCAUAAUAUUAAAAACCACAUGGUUUUUAAUUGAAAGACGGCGUAAGCUGUCACUUUUGGAUGGACCCGCGGCGUAUUAGCUAGUUGGUGAGGUAACGGCUCACCAAGGCGAUGAUACGUAGCCGACCUGAGAGGGUGAUCGGCCACAUUGGGACUGAGACACGGCCCAAACUCCUACGGGAGGCAGCAGUAGGGAAUCUUCCACAAUGGACGAAAGUCUGAUGGAGCAACGCCGCGUGAGUGAAGAAGGUUUUCGGAUCGUAAAACUCUGUUAUUGGAGAAGAACGUAUUUGGUAGUAACUGGCCAGAUAGUGACGGUAUCCAAUCAGAAAGCCACGGCUAACUACGUGCCAGCAGCCGCGGUAAUACGUAGGUGGCAAGCGUUGUCCGGAUUUAUUGGGCGUAAAGCGAGUGCAGGCGGUUUUUUAAGUCUGAUGUGAAAGCCUUCGGCUUAACCGAAGAAAUGCAUUGGAAACUGGGAAACUUGAGUGCAGAAGAGGAGAGUGGAACUCCAUGUGUAGCGGUGAAAUGCGUAGAUAUAUGGAAGAACACCAGUGGCGAAGGCGGCUCUCUGGUCUGUAACUGACGCUGAGGCUCGAAAGCGUGGGUAGCAAACAGGAUUAGAUACCCUGGUAGUCCACGCCGUAAACGAUGAGUGCUAAGUGUUGGAGGGUUUCCGCCCUUCAGUGCUGCAGCUAACGCAUUAAGCACUCCGCCUGGGGAGUACGACCGCAAGGUUGAAACUCAAAGGAAUUGACGGGGGCCCGCACAAGCGGUGGAGCAUGUGGUUUAAUUCGAAGCAACGCGAAAAACCUUACCAGGUCUUGACAUCUAGCGCCAAUCCUAGAAAUAGGAAGUUCCCCUCGGGGACGCUAAGAACGGUGGGGGCAGGGUUGUCGUCAACUCGUGUCGUGAGAAGUUGGGUUAAGUCCCGCCACCAAGCGCAACCCUUAUUAUCAGUUGCCAGCAUUCAGUUGGGAGCUCCUGGGGAAAACGGCCGGGGAAAAAACCG
rnacentral:rRNA from 1 species